rnacentral:rRNA from 1 species
GAUGAACGCUGGCGGCGUGCCUAAUACAUGCAAGUCGAGCGAACGGACGAGAAGCUUGCUCUUCUGAUGUUAGCGGCGGACGGGUGAGUAACACGUGGAUAACCUACCUAUAAGACUGGGAUAACUUCGGGAAACCGGAGCUAAUACCGGAUAAUAUUUUGAACCGCAUGGUUCAAAAGUGAAAGACGGUUUUGCUGUCACUUAUAGAUGGAUCCGCGCUGCAUUAGCUAGUUGGUAAGGUAACGGCUUACCAAGGCAACGAUGCGUAGCCGACCUGAGAGGGUGAUCGGCCACACUGGAACUGAGACACGGUCCAGACUCCUACGGGAGGCAGCAGUAGGGAAUCUUCCGCAAUGGGCGAAAGCCUGACGGAGCAACGCCGCGUGAGUGAUGAAGGUCUUCGGAUCGUAAAACUCUGUUAUUAGGGAAGAACAUAUGUGUAAGUAACUGUGCACGUCUUGACGGUACCUAAUCAGAAAGCCACGGCUAACUACGUG